CCUACGGGCGGCUGCAGUGGGGAAUAUUGCGCAAUGCGCGUAAGCCUGACGCAGCGACGCCGCGUGAAUGACGAAGGCCUUCGGGUCGUAAAGCUCUUUCGACAGGGAAGAAAAGGCAUGUAAGUAACCGGCUAUGUAUUGACGGUACCUGUAAAGGCAGCCCCGGCUAACUCCGUGCCAGCAGCCGCGGUAAUACGGAGGGGGCGAGCGUUGAUCGGAGUGACUGGGCGUAAAGGGCACGUAGGCGGUAUUGUAAGUCAUUAGUCAAAGACUAGAGCUCAACCUUAGAAAUGCUAUUGAUACUGUCAUACUUGAGUAUCAGAGAGGAUUGCGGAAUUCCUGGUGUAGCGGUGAAAUGCGUAGAUAUCAGGAGGAACACCGUUAGCGAAGGCGGCAAUCUGGCUUGUAACUGACGCUGAGGUGCGAAAGCGUGGGUAGCAAACAGGAUUAGAUACCCGAGUAGUC
rnacentral:rRNA from 1 species